AGUUAUCGAAGGGAAGGCAGAUUGUCGAUGGAAGAAUAAUAAGAGAAGAAUAAGAAUAGAUAGACAGCAAAUUCAGAAGAAACAGAAAUAAUCUAGUAGGUAUAGAGGGGGGGCGGAGCUAGUAACCGCCGCCGGCGAGGAAGAGGAGGUCAGAGGGGCUGCCGCCUUCGGAGGGCAGAGCGCCGCGGCCGCCGUGUGGCGAAGGGUUGGUCUCGGUCACACAGCCCUUGCGUCGUACUGCCCGGACAUGUAUGACGGGGCGGUUUCCUCUUAGUAAAGCCGUGAUUGUCGACAACUUGUUACCCCCGGGUUUUACCCCUCCUUUCCACUCUGAACGACGCGAACGAGAGAUCCC
rnacentral:lncRNA from 1 species